AAUUAGUUAGAAUCUGGCUAUAAUAGCUGUUUAUUUAGUAAAAAUUUAUGUAAAGUUAUUUGGGAUAUUUUAAUUUUUAAAAAAGUAUUUAAAUUUUAUCUUCAAUUUAUAGUUUUAUUUUUUCUUUAAUUGAGAAUUAUAGUUAAUUAUUAAUUAUUUUGACUAAAUUUGUGCCAGCAGUCGCGGUUACACCAAUAAAGUUAAAUAGCUUAUAACAAUAUUAUUAAUUUUGUAUAUUAAAUUAUAUUAUUUAUAUAUAUUUAAGUGGAAUUUAUAUAUUUAAAUUGUAUAAUUUUAAAUAUUAUAACAAAUUCUUUUUAUUAAACUAGGAUUAGAUACCCUAUUAUUUAGAAUAUAAAUAUAUUAAUAUUUUAAUACUGUUAGGUAUUAUCUUUAAAAUAAAAGGUUUUGGCGGUAAUUAAUUUCCUUUUAGAGGAACCUGUCCUGUAAAUGAUAAUCCACGAUGAAUAUUACUUUAUUUAUGUUUAUAUACCUCUGUCAUUGAGCCUAUUUUAAAAUAGGCUCAAUAAAUAUAAUGUAUUUAAUGUCAGGUCAAGGUGUAGCUAUAUUAAAGAAGAGAUGGGUUACAAUAUUAUUAAUUUUGGAAAAUUUUAUGUAAAUACAUUUAAAAAUGGAUUUAAAUGUAAAUGGUUUUAGAAAAAAUCAUUGAUUUAGGCUCUAAAUUAUGCACACAUCGCCCGUCACUCCCAAUAUAUAUUGGGAUAAGUCGUAACAAAGUAGGUUCACUGGAAAGUGAACCUAGACUUAA
rnacentral:ncRNA from 1 species